rnacentral:sRNA from 1 species
CCGUAGCCCAGAUAGCAGAGGAAAUCCUUUUAUUUUUUUUUAAAAAAAUAAAAGAUUGUAGCGAAUAGCUGGAAAUAGC